UUUUUAUUUUCAGAGCGUUCUUGUUGGUGAUUCUGAUGGUCAAAUUAACGUUUUCUUACUGACUGGCCUUGGAAAAAAUAAACCCAGCGAGGUAAAAAUACUGUUACUGUAGUGGGUCGUCUUGUCCCUUACUGUACUUAAAAUUCUGUUGCUAUAUAGUGAGUUGUCAUGCCCCUUACUGUACUCAAAAUCCUGUUGCUCUAUUGAGUCGUCCUGUCCCUUACUGUACUAAAAAUUAUGUUGCUGUAUUGAGUAUAGUCCUGUCCCUUACUGUACUCAAAAUGCUGUUGCUGUAGUGAGUGGUCCUGUCCCUUACUGUAGUGGUCCUGUCCUUUACUGUCCCUCCUGUUGCUGUAGUGAAGCCGUCCUGUCGACGUCUCUUACUGUACUCAAAAUACUGUUGCUGUAUUGAGUCGUCCUGUCCGUUACUGUACUCAAAAUACUGUUGCUAGUGAGUCGUCCUGUCCCUUACUGUACUCAAAAUACUGUUGCUAUAGUGAGUCGUCCUGUCCCUUACUCUACUCAGAAUUAUGUUGCUGUAGUGAGUCGUCCUGUCUCUUACAUGUACUCAAAAUACUGUUGCUGUAGUGAGUUGUCCUGUCCCUUACUGCACUCAAAAUUCUGUUGCGUUAGUGAGUGGUCCUGUCCCUUACUGUACUUAAAAUGCUGUUGCUGUAGUGAGUCGUCUUGUCCCUUACUGUACUCAAAAUACUGUUGCUGUAUUGAGUCGUCCUGUCCCUUACUGUACUCAAAAUACUUUUGCUAUAGUGAAGCCGUCCUGUCGCUUACUGUACUCAAAAUACUGUUGCUAGUGAGUCGUCCGGUGCACACUCAACAUGAUUGUCACAUGUGUCAUCAUGUUACACAUUAUCUUCGUUUAGAACAGGUUUAAUUCAUUUAUAUAAUAGUUAACAAAUAGAUUACAUUUAACCGUUGUCUGUUCAGUUGUAGGUACACAGUAUGACGUCAUGCGUGGCAAGAACAAAAAAAGUGGCCACGUUCUGCCCAGUACCUAUAACUGAACAGACAAUGGGAAAAUGUAAUCUAUUUGUUUUAUAUAAUAAAAUUGAAAAAAUUCCCGAAUUAAACAGGCAAAAAGUUUAUUUUAUUCCCCCAAACAUUUGGAAGUCGAAAUUUUGCAAAUAUCACGCGUUCAUGAUCUAUACAAAUAACGAAAUGCUAUUGGCUCGCUUAAGUCACGUGCUGAAUUCUGAGUGGCUAAGGUUAGAAUGCGCUAGACAGUAAUAAAUAAGGAAAAAUAAAAUUAAGCAUUACUUAUGUUGCACUGAAGAAACCAGCUGGAAAAAGUGACAUCGACAGGGGGUCAAAUGACUCAAAUAGUAUUUGUUUUCGAAGACCGGAUUGAAUUUGAAGUCGCAUCUGAAUUAAUUGAGAUUUGCCGAGUUGCUAGCUUUUGUGAAUAAUUUUUGCACAUUUAUCGAAGGUAUUUAUUGAUGUUUACAGAUUUAAUUCCAUGAAUUCAUUCAAUUUGUAUAAAUUCAGUAGAAUUUUCAAAUGUUUUCGACAUUUUAAAACUAAUGACGUAUUCCGUGCGCAUAGAGAUAUCUCUAAAACUGAGGAUUUUAGAAAACGUUAUCUGUACCUUCUCAAAGUUGUAGACAAGAUAUGUUGUUUACGUCCAUGGAUAGUAUUACAUAACUCAAAAUGAUUCGAGCAAAACGGUCUUUUGUUAAAAGGAAGACUGGUUAAUAGAAAUUGGCCCUUUUGAGUGUCAUAAUCGUUUGUCGUCAUCGAUCCGUGUCGUUGAACAAUGAACAAAUUUGUUGUGAAAUUAGUAAAAAUAAAAUUGCAGUUUGUGAGAAAACUGCUGGUCUACGGAGCGGGAACUUUUCGGAUUUGAACUCAGCGUGUUCGAAAGUGUUAGUUUUCCGUAAAAAUAUUCCAGUUCCAAGACAUGGGAAAUGAAAGUGAACGAUAUCGGGACGCAGCAAACGGCCUAGACUGCCCUCUAAUAGAUCAUGGCUGUCGACCAAUGAAACCGCAUGAAUUCUUAAGGUUAACAUACACCGAGAAAAUGCUUAGCUAUAAGAGGUCAGGUAUUAGUUGGGAGUCUUCCGUCCCAAAUUCGGACGAAAGUCCUCGUCCGAGUCUCGUAUGUUGUCUCACGUAUGUUGUCUUAUAUAUGUUAUAGUGUAAACAUUUGUGACGAACUUAAUAAUAAUAAUAAUCAUUCCAUUGCUUUAUCUGCCGAUAUCGAAUUGACACUGUUUGCUGUGAUGGUAUGAUGCAAUUUCCAUACUUUGAUACUUGAACUAUAUGUUUUUUUUUUAUUCAGGAAAAUAAUCUUGCUGCAAUCAUAGAACCUAAUAUGGCGAAGCAGUUUACACCUCGUCGAUAAACUCAUCUUUAUAUAAUUUAUAAUUAAGCAGUGUUUCUAAUAUUUUAUUUAUCAAUACAUUGUACAUAAAGUAAGGAAGAAAUAAUACGCGGUCUUAUAUUUUGUUACAUAUAUAUGCGUUGAAAGCAUUGUACACAGUUUGUAGAAAUUAAAUUUAUUCAAUUAGAAAAUAUUAUGAGGAAUUAAAAUGAUCUAAAUUGGGAAUCCUGCGCCUUCAACGUGUGAAUUUGAAGAAUCAUAGAAUUACAAUUAAAUUCCAACUUACAGGUAAGUCGC
rnacentral:lncRNA from 1 species